rnacentral:lncRNA from 1 species
UCUAUAUGUUAUUUGCAAUAACUAAUAUCUGUAUAAUUUAUUACAUAUAUAUAAUUCUUUCAAAGAAUUUUUGGGACAAGAAUUGAUUGUUCAAAGAACUACUAUCCUGAUCUUAUAAGGACAACAUGUCACGUGGUUUUGCAAUGGAGGGGAUGCCAUUCUACGUAUAUGAAACGAAUCGAGCAAACCAGUCGCUUUUUCACAAUAUCCAGGUAACAGCCCGAGGGUGACAGUAUCCAGCAUCCUCUUCCAGAUGAACGCGGGCAAAUGGAAUACAAACAAGCGUGACAUACUGAUACAUUCCUGGUAAUAUUGAAACACGAUGAGAUGUCGUAAACGCAAGAAGAUGACAGAAAAUCGAUUGAACGCCUUCCAGAUCUAAACUGACUUUUCUGUUAUGAUUCUUCGUCGCUUUCUUUAGUACUUGAGCAAACAUAGUAAUAUGAUGCUAGCCUGAUAUUUUUCAGAUGUUGUAUGUCUUAUUGCUGUCUUUGUUCAUAUCCGAUACUAUGUAUCAAAAAAAUAUCGAGUCACAAUAAUAUGUAUUGGUGAAUCGGAAACUAUUACCAUCUCCGAUACUAUCCUGUUACGUUAACACGUCAUAGUCGUCAUAUCUCGACAGUUUGAUGUGAAAUCGAUAAAAUAUAUUAAAAUGUAUUUUUUGUGUAUGUAUAUAUAUAUAUAUAUAUAUAUAUAUAUGUUCUUUUUUUUAGAAAUUUUAUAGAAAUAUAUACUAUUAUAUUUAAAGAAGUAACAAUAAAUAUUGAGUAAUGUAAUUGAAAGAAGCGAUAAUAGUUAAUUAUGAAAGAAGAACGCAUGGGAACUUAUGGGAAGUAAUUGUAAUAUUUAAUCUACUUAAUCAAAUAUAGAUAUAUAACUUCUAUCUAUCUCUUAUUAACAAAUAUAGAAGAAAUUAAAAAUAAAACAGCUCAGAAAGAUGCGUAAGAUUAUUAACUAUUAUUAUAAAAAGAAACGAAAUCUUUAGCAGAAAUAAAUCUAUGAAUUUCAACGAACACGUUUGCGUGUUUCAGUAUCGAUUUAACGUCAGUUUCAUGUCAUAAAGACGUCAAACACACCGUUUUCACCAGGACAACAUCCCCGACUUGAAUUUACGACCGCCAGCGAGCAACAGGUUUCGCGGGAACAAAUUUUCUCACACAUAGAAGUAGCUAUAUUUAAAUGGAAUCUGAGGCUACUACCUGUUGCUUUUGAUCGUAAAUCUACCCUCGGGCUGUAAUCCUGGUAGGUUAGUCUCAGAAUGACGUCAUUGACGAUCUUCUGACGGACAAGUGACACUUAUUGAUGUUUCUCUUCAAUCUUUUAACCGAAUGAAUUGCAAUUUCUUCCAAAGAAAAUAUUCUUAUUUUCUGAACGAAUACAAUGAAAUUUAGACGAAUACAUGGAAAGCAGCCCUUGGUUGGCGGGAAAGCCAUAAAUUCAUCUACUAUCCCUCGUUACUACCCUAGUAACUGUGAGCUUUCGUGACAUCACGUAACGUUUCGUGACGAGCACUUUGACAUAUCCGAUAGCUUCUAUUUAUAAAAGUCAUAGACAAGAUACUACGUUCAAUAUCUGCUAGAAUUAUCUUUUAAGGAGAAAAAAAGAAAUAUAUAAUGGGUAUAAGGAUCGAUACGCUGACGUGGCGUCUAAUAUGUAAAUAAAUUCCUCAAACAUCUGCUAGUAUCCUGAUGUAAGCAAGUUACUUGUACCACUGUGACGAAUAGAUGACUGACACUUCUCUUUUUCAAAUUCUUGGAUUUCUUCUUGUUAAUAUUUAGAAAAUGUUUUCAAUAUGAAACAUUAUAAAGUAUUAUAAUUAAAGAAAAGAAAU